AUUGAACGCUGGCGGCAGGCCUAACACAUGCAAGUCGAACGAGUGGCGGACGCGUGAGAAAUGUCUGUGAAGCUGCCCGAUGGAGGGGGAUAACAACUGGAAACGGUAUCUAUUAACGCAUACCAUCGGAUGUGCCCAGAUGGGAUUAGCUUGUAGGUGAGGUAACGGCUCACCUCGGCGACGAUCCCUAGCUGGUCUGAGAGGAUGACCAGCAACACGGGGACUGAGACACGGGCCAGACUCCUACGGGAGGCAGCAGUGGGGAAUAUUGCACAAUGGGCGCAAGCCUGAGACAGCCAUGCCGCGUGUAUGAAGAAGGCCUUAGGGUUGUAAAGUACUUUCAGCGGGGAGGCGUUACCCGCAGAAGAAGCACCGGCUAACUCCGUGCCAGCAGCCGCGGUAAUUC
rnacentral:rRNA from 1 species